rnacentral:rRNA from 1 species
UGCGUAGGUGGUUUUGUGUGUCGAAUGUGAAAUCCCACCGCUUAACGGUGGAAGGUCAUUCGAAACUACAGGACUAGAGUACAGGAGAGGAGAGCGGAAUUCUUGGAGUAGCGGUGAAAUGCGUUGAUAUCAAGAAGAACACCGGUGGCGAAGGCGGCUCUCUGGAAUGAUACUGACACUGAGGCACGAAAGCUGGGGGAGCAAACAGGAUUAGAUACCCUGGUAGUCC